GGAGGCUGACCCCCGAGAUGCGCUCCCGUGGAGGUGGGAGUGUCGGGAACGCCUGAAGGCUGCGUCUCCUCUGUGUGUGCCACAAGCCUGCCUGCUUGUGGAGCCCUUUGCGCCCCUGGCGUGUGGCUGACACUGACAGACUGACCGAGGGAUUGUCUGUGCUGUUUACAUGAACGCAAAUAAAGCAGAAGUGCACCCUGGUGAAAGAGUGACGCUGGCCGUACUUAUCCCGACAGUAUGUUCGUUUCUUGUGCAUGCUUGGAUCCUGUUUAAGAGGUACAACACAGAAGAGAAGAAAUGGCCAUUGUACAUUUCAGAAGGGAAGUUUGAGGUGAUCCUGGUAAGCCAAUUAGGGGAAAGCUGUCCUCACCAUCCCAGAUUUAGUACACAUGGAAUGCUUUGCAGUCUUCAAAGGGAGUGGAAGCCCUCCGCACAAUCAUGUCUCAUGUACACCCGCUUUUCUAGCCCAGGCACCACUCUUAGGAGGGCUCUUUAUUACUUUUCUGCCAAGACGUCUUUACUAAAGGGAAAAAUGGAAAUUCUUGGACUCUAUUCAAAAGGAUUUGCACAGAGAUGUGAUGUUUGGAAAAUUAUAGUAACUUGGUGUCAGUAGACUUGCCUUCUAGGUGUUUGAAUAAGGACUUAUCUUCAAAAUAGCACACUAAGAAAUCAGAAAUCAGAAUUACCUCAGUGGGAAAUGAGUGACAGGUUCAAAUACCUAAGACUAAUUCUUAGAAGAUAUUUGGAAUUUGAAGUUGGAUUAGAGAAGGAACAAGAAGGAAUAUUACAGAAAAGAGAUGAUAACAUAUGACAAAAUGUCUAUUUUUAGCCCACAUACUUAUUUAUCUCAGCAUCCAAGAAGUUAUUCUACAGAGAAACCCUAUAAAUGUGAGGAAUGUGGAAAAGCCUUCAGACGAGCCUCACACCUAACUCAGCAUCAGAGUAUUCAUACUGGUGAGAAACCUUAUGAAUGUAAGCAGUGUGGGAAAGCCUUUAGUCGUGAUUCUCAGCUAAGUCUUCAUCAAAGACUUCAUACCGGUGAGAAACCCUAUGCAUGCAAGGAAUGUGGAAAGGCUUUUACUCAAAGUUCACAACUUAUUUUACACCAUAGGAUUCAUACAGGUGAAAAACCAUAUAGGUGUGAAGAAUGUGGUAAAGCCUUUAUUCGAAGCUCACAACUCAGCCGACAUCAAAAAGUCCAUACUGGUGAGAAACCUUUUGAAUGUAAAGAAUGUGGAAAGGCUUUCACUCAGAAUUCACAGCUUACUCUGCACCAGAGACUCCAUACUGGUGAGAAGCUUUAUGACUGUAAAGAAUGUAGGAAGGUCUUUACUCAACUUUCACAGCUUAUUCUCCAUAGAAGAAUUCAUACUGGUGAGAAACCUUAUGAAUGUAAAGAAUGUGGAAAGGCUUUUAUUUGUGGUUCACAGCUUUCACAGCAUCAGAAAAUUCAUAAUGGAGAAAAGCCAUAUGAAUGUAAGGAAUGUGGAAAGGCUUUUAUUCGAGGCUCACUACUUAUGCAACAUCAAAGAAUUCAUACUGGUGAAAAACCCUAUAAAUGUGAUGAAUGUGGAAAGGCUUUUAUCCGUGGUUCCCAACUUACUCAACAUCAAAGGAUUCAUACUAAUGAAAAACCUUAUGAAUGUAAAGAAUGUGGAAAGACUUUUAGUCAUGGCUCACAACUUACUCAACAUCAGAGAAUUCAUACCGGUGAGAAACCCUAUCAAUGUAAGCAGUGUGGAAAAGCCUUUAAUCGUGGAUCACUCCUUACUCGACAUCAGAGGAUUCACACUGGUGAAAAACCCUAUGACUGUAAAGAGUGUGGAAAAAAUUUUAGUCGGGGCUCAGAACUUACUCAGCAUGAGAGAAUCCACACUGGUGAGAAGCCCUAUGAGUGUAAGGAAUGUGGAAAAUCUUUUAUUCGUGGCUCACAGCUUACUCAGCAUCAAAGAAUCCAUACUGGUGAAAAACCUUAUGAAUGUAAAGAAUGCAGAAUGGCCUUUACUCAGAGUUCACAUCUUUCUCAACAUCAGAGACUUCAUACUGGUGAGAAACCCUAUGUCUGCAGUGAAUGUGGCAAAGCCUUUGCUCGUGGAUUACUACUUAUACAACAUCAGAGAAUUCAUACUGGUGAAAAACCAUAUCAGUGUACAGAAUGUGGGAAGGCCUUUAUUCGUGGUUCACAGCUUACUCAACAUCAGCGAACUCACACUGGAGAAAAACCUUAUGAAUGCAAGGAAUGUGGGAAGGCCUUUGGUCAUGGCUCUCAACUUACUCUACAUCAGAGAAUCCAUACAGGUGAGAAGCCCUAUGAAUGUAAAGAAUGUAGAAAAGCCUUCACUCAGAGCUCACAUCUUUCUCGGCACCAACGAAUUCAUACUGGUGACAAACCAUAUCAAUGUAAAGAAUGUGAGAAGGCCUUUACUCGUGGGUCACAAUUAAUGCAACAUCAGAGAAUUCAUAGCAAUGACAAAUCUUUUGACUGUAAAGAAUGUGGAAUAGACUUUAGUCAUCAUUCACAAAUUUUUAUUUGAGUUAACUUAUUCUCUUCAAGUAUAGCUUUCCCUGGUCACUCAUUAUCAGUAAAGAAUUCUUACAAAUGUUGCUAUAGAAUUCAUAAAGUUCAGCAUUUGAAAAUUUAUAUAGGAGAAUAGAAACGCUGAUAUAAUCCACAUAGGCAUCUGAGGUGGAGCCCAGAUAGCCUCAUGAGGAUUUUGGAAGUGGUAUCUGGGUGUUAUGGAUGGUGGAGUCUGCAACCCUGCUGAUUUUGUGAACAGUCAUUCCAACUCUACUCUGCCUAUGUAUUUCUUUAUUUAAUAUUAAAGUAACCCUCAUACUUGUUGAUGCUCUUCUAGUUCUCAGAACAAUAAAACUUCUCUCUCUCUCUCUC